UGCAUGUCUAAGCACAUGCCUUAAUACGGUGAAGCCGCGAAUAGCUCAUUACAACAGCCAUCGUUUACUAGAAAAUAUUUAUCCUACUUGGAUAACUGUGGCAAUUCUAGAGCUAAUACAUGCAAAAAAGCUCAGACUGAAAGGAAUGAGCGCAUUUAUUAGAAUAAAAACCAAUCGGGUCUAAAAGCCCGCUGUUUGGUGAAUCUGAAUAACUUUGCUGAUCGCACGGUCUAGUACCGGCGACGUAUCUUUCAAGUGUCUGCCUUAUCAACUUUCGAUGGUAGGUUAUACGCCUACCAUGGUAGUAACGGGUAACGGAGAAUAAGGGUUCGACUCCGGAGAGGGAGCCUGAGAAACGGCUACCACAUCCAAGGAAGGCAGCAGGCGCGCAAAUUACCCACUUCCAGAACGGAGAGGUAGUGACGAAAAAUAACGAGACAGUCCUCUYUGAGGUCUGUCAUCGGAAUGGGUACAAUUUAAAUCCUUUAACGAGGAUCUAUUGGAGGGCAAGUCUGGUGCCAGCAGCCGCGGUAAUUCCAGCUCCAAUAGCGUAUAUUAAAGUUGUUGCGGUUAAAACGCUCGUAGUUGAAUCUGCGGCCUGGGAGAAUGGACCCCCGAAAGGGUGGUAACUGUUACUCCUAGCCUAAAUUUUUAGUCUACUCUAUGGUGCCUUUAACCGGGUGCUUAGAGUGACUGGAACGUUUACUUUGAAAAAAUUAGAGUGCUUAAAGCAGGCGAAUUUGCCUGAAUAAGGUGCAUGGAAUAAUGGAAUAGGACCUCGGUUCUAUUUUGUUGGUUUUCGGAGCCUGAGGUAAUGAU
rnacentral:rRNA from 1 species